rnacentral:rRNA from 1 species
GUGAACGCUGGCGGUAGGCCUAACACCUGCAAGUCGAACGGCAGCACAGUAAGAGCUUGCUCUUACGGGUGGCGAGUGGCGGACGGGUGAGGAAUACAUCGGAAUCUACUUUUUCGUGGGGGAUAACGUAGGGAAACUUACGCUAAUACCGCAUACGACCUACGGGUGAAAGCAGGGGAUCUUCGGACCUUGCGCGAUUGAAUGAGCCGAUGUCGGAUUAGCUAGUUGGCGGGGUAAAGGCCCACCAAGGCGACGAUCCGUAGCUGGUCUGAGAGGAUGAUCAGCCACACUGGAGCUGAGACACGGUCCAGACUCCUACGGGAGGCAGCAGUGGGGAAUAUUGGACAAUGGGCGCAAGCCUGAUCCAGCCAUACCGCGUGGGUGAAGAAGGCCUUCGGGUUGUAAAGCCCUUUUGUUGGGAAAGAAAAGCAGCAGGUUAAUACCCCGCUGUUCUGACGGUACCCAAAGAAUAAGCACCGGCUAACUUCGUG